GACGAACGCUGGCGGCGUGCUUAACACAUGCAAGUCGAACGGAAAGGCCUCUUUCGGGGGGUACUCGAGUGGCGAACGGGUGAGUAACACGUGAGUAACCUGCCCUUGACUUUGGGAUAACUUCAGGAAACUGGGGCUAAUACCGGAUAGGAGCUCCUGCUGCAUGGUGGGGGUUGGAAAGUUUCGGCGGUUGGGGAUGGACUCGCGGCGUAUCAGCUUGUUGGUGGGGUAGUGGCUUACCAAGGCGUUGACGGGUAGCCGGCCUGAGGGGGUGACGGGCCACAUUGGGACUGAGAUACGGCCCAGACUCCGACGGGAGGCAGCAGUGGGGAAUAUUGCACAAUGGGUGGAAGCCUGAUGCAGCAACGCCGUGGGCGGGAUGACGGCCUUCGGGUUGUAAACCGCUUUCGCUCAUGACGAAGCUUUGUGUGACGGUAGUGGGUAAAGAAGCACCGGCUAACUACGUG
rnacentral:rRNA from 1 species